AACUUAAGGUAGCAUCGUCUUCUGUGUU
rnacentral:piRNA from 1 species